GUCAGCAUGGUAUAGAGGUUGGCACAUUGGACCAUGAUUCUAGGGACCAGGGUUCAAAUCCUUGUUCAGCCA